rnacentral:rRNA from 1 species
GCAUAACGCGAAGAACCUUACCAAGGCUUGACAUACACGAGAACACCGUAGAAAUACGGGACUCUUUGGACACUCGUGAACAGGUGGUGCAUGGUUGUCGUCAGCUCGUGUCGUGAGAUGUUGGGUUAAGUCCCGCAACGAGCGCAACCCUCGUUCUAUGUUGCCAGCACGUUAUGGUGGGAACUCAUGGGAUACUGCCGGGGUCGAACUCGGAGGAAGGUGGGGAUGACGUCAAAUCAUCAUGCCCCUUAUGUCUUGGGCUUCACGCAUGCUACAAUGGCCGGUACAAUGGGCUGCAAUACCGUGAGGUGGAGCGAAUCCCAAAAACGCCGGUCCCAGUUCGGAUUGAGGUCUGCAACUCGACCUCAUGAAGUCGGAGUCGCUAGUAAUCGCAGAUCAGCAACGCUGCGGUGAAUACGUUCCC